UGUUUAUACAUAGAUUUCUCUUUAUCAGGUUGAGGUAGUAGAUUGUAUAGUUGUAGGGCAGUUAUUUUGCCCUCUUCAGGAGAUAACUAUACAAUCUAUUGCCUUCCCUGAGGAGUAACAUUUCUGCAAUAUUCUAC
rnacentral:precursor_RNA from 11 species